rnacentral:rRNA from 1 species
UUUGUCCUACGGGGGGCAGCAGUGAGGAAUAUUGGUCAAUGGCCGCAGGGCUGAACCAGCCAAGUCGCGUGAGGGAUGACGGUCCUAUGGAUUGUAAACCUCUUUUGUCAGGGAGCAAAGGGCGCCACGUGUGGCGUUUUGCGAGUACCUGAAGAAAAAGCAUCGGCUAACUCCGUGCCAGCAGCCGCGGUAAUACGGAGGAUGCGAGCGUUAUCCGGAUUUAUUGGGUUUAAAGGGUGCGCAGGCGGAGGUGCAAGUCAGCGGUCAAAUUGCGGGGCUCAACCCCGUACUGCCGUUGAAACUGG